rnacentral:rRNA from 1 species
UGGGUUAAAGGGUCCGUAGGCGGUUUAAUAAGUCAGUGGUGAAAGCCCAUCGCUCAACGGUGGAACGGCCAUUGAUACUGUUAAACUUGAAUUAUUAGGAAGUAACUAGAAUAUGUAGUGUAGCGGUGAAAUGCUUAGAGAUUACAUGGAAUACCAAUUGCGAAGGCAGGUUACUACUAAUGGAUUGACGCUGAUGGACGAAAGCGUGGGUAGCGAACAGGAUUAGAUACCCUGGUAGUCCACGCCGUAAACGAUGGAUACUAGCUGUUGGGAGCAAUCUCAGUGGCUAAGCGAAAGUGAUAAGUAUCCCACCUGGGGAGUACGUUCGCAAGAAUGAAACUCAAAGGAAUUGACGGGGGCCCGCACAAGCGGUGGAGCAUGUGGUUUAAUUCGAUGAUACGCGAGGAACCUUACCAAGGCUUAAAUGUAGUUUGACCGAUUUGGAAACAGAUCUUUCGCAAGACAAAUUACAAGGUGCUGCAUGGUUGUCGUCAGCUCGUGCCGUGAGGUGUCAGGUUAAGUCCUAUAACGAGCGCAACCCCUGUUGUUAGUUGCCAGCGAGUCAUGUCGGGAACUCUAACAAGACUGCCAGUGUAAACUGUGAGGAAGGUGGGGGAUGACGUCAAAUCAUCACGGCCCUUACGCCUUGGGCUACACACGUGCUACAAUGGCCGGUACAGAGAGCAGCCACUGG